UUUAAGGUCUAACCUGCCCAAUGAGGAUUUAAAUGGCCGCAGUAUUUUGACUGUGCAAAGGUAGCAUAAUUAUUAGUUUUUUAAUUGAAAGCUUGUAUGAAGGGUUGGACGAGAUAAAAUCUGUCUUUAUUUAAAUAAGAGUGGAAUUUAACUUUUAAGUCAAAAGGCUUAAAUAGAUAUAAAAGACGAGAAGACCCUAUAGAUCUUUAUUUAAUUGAAGUUUUAAUAGUUUAGGGUUCUUUAAAUUUAGAGUUUCAAUUGAAUUUUAUUGGGGUAAUAUAAAGAUUAAAUUAAUUCUUUUUAUUUAUAACAUUAAUUUAUGUAUAUUUGAUCCAGUUAUAUUGAUUAUAAGAUUAAGUUACCUUAGGGAUAACAGCGUAAUUUUUUUGGAGAGCUCUUAUCGAUAAAAGAGUUUGCGACCUCGAUGUUGGAUUAAAAGUUAACUUGGGUGCAGAAGCUCAAGAUUUUGGUCUGUUCGACCAUUAAACUUUUACAUGAUCUGAGUUCAGACCGGCGUAAGCCAGGUCGGUUUCUAUCUUUAUAAAAGUAGGAUAUUUUAGUACGAAAGGACCAAAUAUUUAAUAUAGUGAUAUUUAGUUUUUGAAUGAUAUU
rnacentral:rRNA from 1 species